GGAUCCUUCCUUCCUGCUCUCUCCCUGACACACUGCAGGUGCCAGAGAGAGGACCAUGAACACAGGGUCCAGGAGCCUCUUCCAUCAUUCCAGCAGCCAUAGUGGAAUUCUACUGGGAAUGCAGAAUCCUUCCUAGAAGCCACUAAAAAAUCAGGAAAUGCCCCAGGAAUUAUUUGUAAAAUCCUUGCACUAGAGCACAUGCGCUUGGCGGUGGAGCUCACAAAGCAGAUGGACGAGCCACUGAGUUUACAAACCUGAAGAUUCCAAGUCAAGGGUAUCAUGUAAAUGCCCUUAAUGUAGUUGGGAAAUGCCGCGUUUCCUUCCUAUCUGCGCCUCUUGAGGAAUUCACAUUCAAGAUAUAGGAUGGACCUCCUCCGUUUAGGCAGAAGCCUGCUGAAAUGUUGCCAUCUCGGGCCACGUUGUCAGGGGAGCAAGACUCUCUCCGCUUGUCUUUAACUGAGUUAAUUUCUCUUCUGCAUUUGGCUGAGCAGUGGAGACCCUCUGCAAUUUCAGGGUUUCUGCUUUUGCUGCAGGGUUGCAUCUAAGUUCAGGGAGUCUAUUGCACUUGUAAUUUCAGAAGUAAGCAUUCUAGUUCUAGAACAGCGUUUGUUCUGUGUUGAAUUGAAUGCCCUUUGGGAGUUCUCAUUUGUUCUUAAGUUCUCAUUUGCUUUCUAGGUUGUGGGAAGCUGCAGCAGACUGAGGUGUCAGGGAUGUGGGGAUAUCUCAUUCUCAGUUGUUCUCAUUUCUCUGCCACGUCCCUCAUCCCAUCUGCCCCAGUCUUCCAUGUAAGCAAGUCAUUGCCCCCAGACCUCUAGUUCCACUGUGGUACUCUUCUUCAACCCAGCUGCUGAGCCCCUCUCUCUCUGUCUGUCUCUGUCUGUCUGUCUGUCUCUCUCUCUCUCUCUCUCUCACACACACACACACACACAUUUUUGUCCCUUCUGUCAUGGCACAAGAGGUCUCUGAGGUUGUCGUGGUCAAUCCACUUGGGUGCUCCUUGUGGCAUCUCUUCUGCCUUAGGCCCCAGAAACCUGGAGCAUUUUCUGGGACCAUCAGAAAAGGGGGCUUGAGUUCUUGGCUCCCUGGAGUUCCAAUUACUACUCCAACCUCCUCAUUUACCUGAGUGGAGAUGUGUGGGUUGCAAAUUACAGGUCCCUUGCUUAAGGAAGCCACGAGAAUCUAGGCCACUAGAUACUACACAAACAUACCAGGGGUCUUCAAAAAGUUCAUGGAAAGUUUUGUAUUAUCUUUUAAGUCUCUUUUUCCAUGAGCUUUUUGAAGUACUGUUGCACAUUAUGCAGAACCAUAUGAAACUGCCAAUUUUGUAGGUUAAAACAAAUUUAAUAGUAUCAAUUUUAUACUAAAUUGAAUUAAAUAGAAUAAAUAUACUUUGGGCUAUAUUACCCAAUCACAGUAAACAUUUCUCAAUCUGUCCACCAGCUUCGCAAAGGUUUUUGUUGGAAUUUUUAUAGCAAAUUUUAUUCCUUCUAGAUGACCUUUAGUUGUCUGCACAAAGUGAUCAGAAGGUUUUGUGUUUAUAUAUUUUGAGCAACUCGUUUCUAAACCACUGAAACUCUUCAUUUGGAAGAUUGUUUAACAGGUUAGAAAAUGUUUACAAAUUUUCAAAGUGUGGAAAUAGUAGAAUUUUUAUAGGUAACACACAUAAUUUUGGAAAAGAUGUGUUGGGAACAUUUCCAAACAUCUCACUUAAAAAUGCUCUGUUUAUAGCAUGUAUUUCUUUGGAAAAAAAAAAAAAAAACAACCCAGCUUGUGUCACUCUUUGUUUAAAUAUCAUCUUUACCUUGAAUGGACAGGGAAGGUACUUUUUCAAAAAGAAAAUAUUUGUUAGACAGCGAAGCAGUGACAGCCACUUGCCAUCAUAGGAAAGGUCAGCAGAUUGAAAACACUUGUCUUUUUGUGAAAGAAAAGUAUAUAACUCAUCUUCAAGUCUGACAAAUCUUUUAAGUACUUUACUGUGAUAUAACAUACAAAUCUUUAUAUGGCACAAGAAAGUGUCAAGAUCAGUCCCAUUCUAUUAUGAAGUAUUGUAAAAAUUGUGCUCAAUCUUAAAAAAUCUUAGUUUUGUGACUUUUCCAACAUCAUUGACAUCCUGCAGUCCUUGGUACACCUCUGGCUGCACAUAUCUGCUGCAAGAGUUUGCCUAUAAAUGAUGCAGUGUGUAAGCGUGUUUCACAUGUAAUACCACCUUGGCAGCCUUACCCCAGAAUUCCUUUUCAAUCUCAUAAGAUCCUGUAUUUAAUAAAGAAAUCAAUUGUUAAGAUUA